ensembl:lncRNA
CUUCUCCAGGGGAUCUUCCCAACCCGGGGAUAGAACCCAGGUCACCCACACUGCAGGCGGAUUCUUUACCAGAGACGAGGAUGAGACAGGCUGGGACCUGGAAUGCUGCACUGCUUGCACUUAGACACACCUCUCCUGGAGCAACAAAAUACAAGGAACCAGGCUCCUCUGUCCACAGGAUUCUCUAGGGCAAAUUCUGGACAAAAGAUACAAAGAGACCAAAAAAACCCAACCGCCACUUCUAAAGGGCCUGGAGCAAAAGCUGGGGUUUGGAACCAAGAGCUGGGUACUAAGCAUGCCUCCUGUACACACCACCACCUGAAGGGUGGACAAAUCACCUAAGCUA